rnacentral:rRNA from 1 species
AUUGAACGCUGGCGGCAGGCCUAACACAUGCAAGUCGAACGAGUGCCGUACGGUUGAGUUAUGUCUGGGAAACUGCCCGAUGGAGGGGGAUAUCUACUGGAUACGGUAGCUAAUACCGCAUUCCCUCAGAUGUGCCCAGAUGGGUUUAGCUCGUAGGUGGGGUAACGGCUCACCUAGGCGACGAUCCCUAGCUGGUCUGAGAGGAUGACCAGCCACACUGGAACGGAGACACGGUCCAGACUCCUACGGGAGGCAGCAGUGGGGAAUAUUGCACAAUGGGCGCAAGCCUGAUGCAGCCAUGCCGCGUGUAUGAAGAAGGCCUUCGGGUUGUAAAGUACUUUCAGCGGGGAGGCGUUAACCGAAGAAGAAGCACCGGCUAACUCCGUGCCAGCCGCCGCGGUAAUAG